rnacentral:rRNA from 1 species
UACGGAGGGAGCUAGCGUUGUUCGGAACUACUGGGCGUAAAGCGCACGUAGGCGGCGCGGCAAGUCAGGGGUGAAAUCCCGGGGCUCAACCCCGGAACUGCCCUUGAAACUGCAGUGCUAGAAUCUUGGAGAGGCGAGUGGAAUUCCGAGUGUAGAGGUGAAAUUCGUAGAUAUUCGGAAGAACACCAGUGGCGAAGGCGACUCGCUGGACAAGUAUUGACGCUGAGGUGCGAAAGCGUGGGGAGCAAACAGG